rnacentral:lncRNA from 1 species
AGGAAAAGACUUUGACCAGCUUCACAAAAGGCAGCAAAGGACUAUCAGAGAAAGAGAAUUCUGAGUGAGGGGUCUGGCCUAGGCCCGGGAUCGGACCAGGCUCCCUCAGGACCCUAUCCUUUCCUGCCCGGACCGUGAAUUCAUCUCCUUGAAGCCAUAACGUCCGAGCUGCUGGUGCAGGGCAGCCCUGGCCCUAGGCUUCCUACCCCUGGAAGCGAGAGGAUGAGAGGAGGCCGGCCCAGCUCCUUCUUUCAGGGUGGGGGGCAUUCAGCCUCCACUGUGUCUGUCUUUUCUUCCCUGGGGCUCCCCCUCGAGGCGAGGGGCCAUGCAUGUCUGGGGGACCCCUGCCCCCCAAAACCCCUCUGUCUGUCUCUGUCUCUUUGCUGUUUGUCCAAGACUCGGUGUCCCGACCCUUGUUCUUGCCGUGAAUGUCAAUGGGCCAAUCCUCUCUGUCCUUUCAGACACACACACACCUGUGUCCACCCCUUCUGUUCGCCACACCCCGCGUCUGGCCGGUCCCCCCACCGCUGCUGCUAUCAACGCCAGAAUAAACACACUCCGUGGGUCUCACUCCAC